GGGGGGCGGGGGGUGUUGCUCGCCUCACAUGCAGUUUGUAUAGUUACUCAGCCCUUUGUAUUUCCUUGUUUGAGAGGUAUGCGACCUUGCCUACCCCCAAACUUUGUGGUUUACCCCUUUGCCUCCCAAGGGCCCAACUGUUAAGGGGGAGGGUGUGGUCCAACUGCCGAGUCAGAACCUAAAGUGGGAAAGAUAGGGUCAAGUUAAGAGUAAAAAAAAAAGGGGUUGGGGAUUUAGCUCAGUGGUAGAGCGCUUGCCUAGCAAGCACAAGGCCCUGGGUUCAGUCCCCAGAUCCAAAAAAAAAAAAAAAAAAAAAAGAGAAAAAAAUAAUAAAAAACUGGCCUUGAAAACGGUCUGAGGAAUCAUAUUACAUCAUUAGGACUAAGCCUUUGUUUUUUAGGUCCCCCUCCCGCCCAUCUAUUUUGGCUAAAAAAGGAACAAGGAGAAACUGCGUAUACAGACACACAGUGAUAAGUUGGUUGGUCUGUGUCUAACAGGCAGAUCCAUGGCACAGUGGAGCAGUGGGGAGAACUAAUCCCGCAGAUGUUAUUUGUGGUACAAUGUGAUGUGUGGGGGAGUGUGAUGUGACACUACCCUGAGCCGGACAGAGUUGAGAUGAGCCCCAGGUAGACAAUAAGAUCUUGCCUGGCACUGGUGGCAUAGACCUUUGAUCCCAGCACUCAGGAGGCAGAAGUCGGUAAUGUCUGUGAAUUCGAGGCCAACCUGGUGAUCCACAGAGCUAGUUAUAGCAAAGCCAGAGUUUCAGAGAAACCUGGCUUAAAAAAAAAAAAAGACAAACAAAAGACAAAUAUUUAUUUUAGGACUUAAAACAUAAUUUCUUGAUAUUUGAAGGAACAGUAGUGUAAGAUAGGCAAAAAAGUGUCAUCUCCUAACACCCGUUCCCCUGUGGGCACAUGGCACACUGUUGAUGUCUGAACUCCCACUUUCAUUUCCCGAUCAUCCUUGAUCAUAGGUAUUGACGUUGAGGUGAGCUUGCUGUGGCCUGGAACAGAAGGAGAGCAGAGUAGGACCCACAAGUUGCAAAGAACUCUUUUUUUUUUUUUAACAGUUAUUUUGGCUUUGGGAAUUGUAGGAUACUUGGGGUUUAAGAGAAUUGAAAAAAAGUAAGCUAAAGAUUUCUUUUCUUUCUUUUAAUAACAGAGCUUCAUAAGGAAGCCAAGGAUACUCAGAACAUAAUCUCUACUGUAACUAUUUAACCACAGGUUGCCAGCUUUGCUCAGAAUGUUAUAAGUCAGCAAUCAAGAUGUAGGACGAAAGUUAAAGCAAGUGCCCACAUUCUAUCAAACACUGGGCUCAUAAAUUCUCAUCCCCUGUCGUAGCUCCACUGGAGCUGAGUUUGCCCACUAGAUUCCACAGAGAGGCAGAUCCAGGCAUGGCUGCUUCAGAAGGCUUGUUCCGAGCGAGGCCCGGGAAGUAAAAUCGCUAACACCCAGAAGCUUUGAGACUUGCUUUCUUUUUGAGACAAAGUCUCUUUGUGUAGCCUUGACUGGCCUGGAACUCACUUUGCAGACCAGGCUGGUCUUGAACUCAUAGAGAUUCACCUGCUUCUGCUUCUUGAGCGUUGGGACUGAAGGGAGCGCCAUCAUGCAUAGCUCACCUGAAAGUUUCCAACAUCUAGAAUCAGCUGGUUGGCUAUGUUACUAAUGGUAAUGUUCCCUGAAGGAUAGAGUUGAUUUCAACAGUUCUCAGUAUCUUUCCCGGAAGUUAGUCACAGCUCUGUCUGGGUAGCGGGUUUCCAUCUUGGCUGAUAUUUUGUUUAGGUUUGGUAUUUAUCUGAUGCCCCCUUCCAUUUUAUAAAGAAAAGAUCUGUACUCCCCCAAAUCUAAGUAUUUCUGAGCAUGCUGUUUCCUUAUGUGAGCACAUUGAACUACACCACCCAUCAACACUAAGGGAGGAAACAGUAUCUUUUCCUUGGGUGUGAGAAAUGGUCUCACUAUAGACCAGGGUUGUCUGGAACUUUCUGUAUAGCCUGUGAUAGACACACAGACAUGAACUCUCUUUCUUCAGCUUCCUAAUGCUGGCAUUAAAGUGCGAGCUAUCGUACCCAGCUUAAAGUUACUGAAUAGGUAAGAGGACUUAAUACCUUAGUAAUAGAACACAAAUUUUUUUUUUCCUGUCAGGAGAUAAAUGGCCACAUUGAAUCUGCAUGUUAGAUAUUUGUUCAGGACAAAACACUUAGCACAUGUCCACAAGACAGAGCUGCAUUCUAACUCUGGCUGGCUUUUGGUGAGGAAUGUACUUGUAUCCCGGUAUGAAUCAGUCCACACAACUAAGUCACUCACACAUAGCAUACACUGGGUAAGCAUCUAUAACAUCAUCUAAGAGCAGGAUUCGAACGUGUGUCUUGUGGCUAGCUGUACAGAAGACUGUGCUGAGAACAGGGACUGAUAGAGUUCUGGUGUAAUAGGUUAGAAACAUCCCAGGGUCUUCCCUGACAGCCAGCCAACUUCCUAUAAAAGGUUUCUUCUGGUUUUUCUGAUCCUCUCAGGCAAGGUGCACUUCUGAAUUGCACGACCCUGCCAGGCAGGCCCUUGCUGUGUGGUCUAUGCUGAUACUCAUCUUCUUGUACCUCUCUCUUCCAUCUCUAGAAAAUAGUCUGUAUUGAUCCUAGAGGCUUGUUGGGAAUCCUAAGUGAGCCCCUGCUCUUAGCAGCAUCAACCUGCUUCUCAUAUCUCUGUGUAGAAUAAUCAAUUCUUAGGUGUUGUUGUUGUUGUUGUUGUUUUGCUUUUCACUUGGCCUACCUAGCCGGGUUGCCCUGCUUCAUCCCUGCUUUGUCUACAUUCCCUGGCUUGAGCUACCCCGAUUCUUGGCUUUCUUCCUCAGGCGCACUUUCUCCUCCACGCUGUCAAUGUGAGCUGCUCUGGAUUUCGUGCUUAGGUUUUUCUUUCCUCAUUGUGUUAUCCUCUGUGGUGAUUUCAUCCAGGCUUGCAGUGGUGAAAACCUUCUUUCCAGUAGCCACUCACAAGCUAAGAACACCAGCUUGGAUGCUCCCCAACACUGCCAGCUAGCGGCAGCCGCUACCCAAUUGCAUAUCAGGUAGCAUCUGGAACUCAGGAAUAUCGAGGACUUCUGACAAUGGAUAACUGCCCUUCAGAAGAAUUGAAAUGCUAUAACAGAGCCACGUAGAGAGCCACAGAGGGAGGAACAAUGAACUCUGGAAGAUGGUGUGGGCUGUGGAAGAGUUGCUUUAUUUCAAAGCAAACUGAAAAAUAAGGGAAAAAAGAAAGAAAAAAUUAUACCCAGACAAAACUAUUAUCUGAAAAUAUACAAAUAGGAUUCCCCCUUCAACACCCUACUUUGCUAGGGUGGAGACUGGAGAAGGGGCAAGGGCGUUCCAGACAAUGAGAAGAGAAUUUAAAAAGAUAUAGCUGGGAGUAGUGGUGUACACUUUUAGUCCCAGCACUCAGGAGGGAGGGAAGGAGGGAGGGAGGGAGAGAGAGAGAGAGAGAGAGAGAGAGAGAGAGAGAGAGCCCACAGCAUACCAUGUACAGAAAACUACUCAUAAUUUGGCAUUGUAGAAGCACAAUGUGUGUGUGUGUGUGUGUGUGUGUGUGUGUGUGUGUGUGUGUGUGUGGGGUGGAUAUGUGAGAAGGCUCUUGGAUUCUAGGACUUUCCAUGCAUCGAGAGCUGGUAGUUUGAACAUGGUCAGUCAGGGAGCUAUUAAACAAGGAGUGUGGCUCUGCAAUGUCUGGGCCUGCCCUAUACACAGUAACCCAGAGUGGACAGGUCUGUUAGGAAAACGUGAGAAGAGUCUGUGCGUGAGACGAAGGUACCCUGAAUUAAGGCAAGGGAUGCAGAGAUGAAAAUGAAGAGAGGGCUUCUGGGACAUUCUUGAGACUUAGGCAAAACUAAUCUGAUUGAUGAUACCUGGGAGCAUGAGGAAGACAAACUUUGUAAAAAAUUCAUAAAAUUCAUUUCCUGUUCUUAAGUCUAAAUAAUUUGAUGUUUCAUCAUUUGCUGGGAUGGGACUUUCAUUCUCCAGUUCACAGGCCAGUGAGGCCAGGGCUCUUUCUCCAGAACUGAAUGGUUUAUCAGGACAGAGCCCAGCUUAAGAGAAUCUUGGAAGUCAUUUUCCCCAAGCUCCCACCAACAUUAGAAUCAUCUCUGGAGGUUUUUGAAUGGAAGAUCAGCCCCAGCUGAAAUCUACCUUCAGUCAUAGAGAACUCGACACCUGGUCUGCCCUUACCCAGGAGGUGGUAAGUUCUUUACACACCGCCUUCUGUCUUACAAAAGCAUGAGAGUCUGACUCAGGAACUAAAGUUGACAUUUGUGACUCCCAGGUUACCACAGCUGAGUUCUCCCUUUUGGGAAAUGGUUUCUGGAUUCCUCACCAGCUUGGUCAAACUCCUCCAACAUGUUUGAAAUACAAUGUCAGACAGUGAUGGCCCCCACCUUUAAUCCCAGCACUUGGGAGGCAAAAGCUAUCAGAUCUCUGUUAGUUCGAGGACAGCCUGGUCUACAGAUCAUGUUCCAGAAUAGCCAGCAGUACACAGAGAAACCCUGCCUCAAAAUAGAAAACAAAAAAAUACAAGUGUCUUUCUUAAGAUCCUUCCUGUGGUCCAUCAUAAUACUGUGUAUGAGGUCUGGCCAGAGUAGCCGUGGUUUUCAUGGGCAUUUUCAACAGUGUAUCCCAGAGUGCUUUGUUUCUCAGCAGUUAGAUGAUACAGAGUCUCUGGCCACCAAACCCGAGACAUCUUUUUUUUUUUUUUUUUAAUCCUUUAGUUCUGUUCUGUUCAAUUGACUGUUAGAAUCUUUGAAAACAUUUUUAUAUAUGGUACUUUUAGUUCAUGAACAUCAGUUAAGGAAGUUUACCAAGACUCAACAUGUGAUUGUGUCAACUCUAUUGUGUCAAGCUCUGAUGUAUCUGUUUGUUCUCCCUUCUUGCUAACCUUUUCCUGCUGGUAGAGUGGGCCAACUGAUGCUCUCUGCUGCAGCUGCUGACGUGGACCCACAGGCCAUGGCCCUUAGCCUCAGCUCUUGCGGUCAGGAUCCUGCUAUGUCACUCUUGGCCGAGUUGGAUAUAUUUUAGAUUUGUCACUUCAGUCUCACUGUUUGCUUUUCAUGCCAAUCAUUUGAUUUCCUUUGCACCAGCAGGUGCUGUAUUCAGAUGAGGAAACCUCUGUUCCCCUAAAUUCAUAUCCUACAGUGGCAGGGGCACAGACAGACAGAGACAGAGAAUGUGUAAGCUUCUACUUAUUAUAGACCCUAUUGAUUUCAUAAUGGCUCGAGCCCUUGUCAAAAGACAAUGUGAGCUAUAUAAAAUUGUUGCAAGCCCUGUUGGGAGGUGGACACAUGGUAAUCAACACCUCUAACAGUAUUCCUGUCUUAAACUGGUGGCCUUUCAUUACUUAAGAUGACUUCCCUCUUGGCCACGGUUUAUCAUUUUAUGGCAUUCAGUGUUGAAGAACAAACCUUAUUCCCUCCUUGCCCAGGAGUCAUUACCUUAGAAGUAUCCAGCCACUGCGACUUCCCUUUGCACUAUUGCUUCUUCACACAGGAUUUUCCCUGAGGACUCUGAUGCUCACAGAUUCAGAGGUGGGUUCAAGGCAUCACAGGGCCAGAACUGCCCAAUUUCAUGGCAGGAUGAGGCCUGAGGGGUCACUUGGCACAAUCCUCCAUUUUGCCAAGGAAGAUGUGAGACCUGAGACUGCCAGGGUGCACAUUUCCUCAUCACACGAGGAGCUGCUUGGAAGUCACCAUUCCACAGAGCAGCCAGGCAGCAUUCAGAAAACCGGUCCCACCUCUCCCAAGAUCAGGGAAACCACUGGCCUUUCUGUAAAGUGGAUUUUUUUUUUUUUUUGGUUCUUUUUUUUUUUUUUUUCGGAGCUGGGGACCGAACCCAGGGCCUUGCGCUUCCUAGGUAAGCGCUCUAUCACUGAGCUAAAUCCCCAACCCCUAAAGUGGAUUAUUUUUAACCACGCUUCCUUGGCUUCCUCUGACUCACAGGCCCCUCCAAGACCCCUCUGUUUCCUUUAAGGAGCAGGAUUUCCCAAGCAAACACAACCAUGUUGUUUGUCUCUCAACAGCUCUGCUGUGCAGGGACUGAGGGCUGCACUCGUGAUGAGCCCAGGGACUCCUGUGCCAAGCCUCUGAUAUAUAGUGCGGGGACUGCAGGGCAUCCGAGUUGUAACAAGAACAAGAUGAGCUUGUGGCCUCAGGCUCCUAACCUGCUCCUCAACCCACACUUCAAAGAAAGUUAUUACACAAGAGUUAGACUAAAUCAAACCAAACUGCAAUGUUUGCGCACUGUGGUCCAUUUUCAGAUCUCCGUGUAUCUCACCCCGAGUCCCUCGGAAACCCAGGCAGGAACAAAACAAAACGACCCAAUGAUAAUUUAGUUGUAAGUCUUUAAAAAAUGAGCCUGACUGAUUUAUUUUGAAAUUUCGGUUAAGCACAAUGUCAAGAAAAUCUCUGUGGCUAUUUGUCAUUUUUGUCCUCUUAGCAUAAGUCCAAGCAGCAGAAUAAAAUUAGAAACUGGCUGCUCAUAGGCUCCUGAGUUCCCGUUGUAGGCUUGAUUCCACUACUAGAUGAUCAGAGAUGUUUUGGUGAUAAUCUUCUGUCAGAGCACUCGUCAUAACAAGGAAGACCUCUAUUAUGCCAUCGGCUCAUUUUAUUAGCCUUGUUAUCCAGCUACUGGGAAGGAGCACAAUAGAUCACCUAAAAGAUAUAUAUUUCACUUUGACUAGAACUACUACUCUCUUCUUUUAGCUUACCCACAACCUGAGAAGCAUGAGAACUCAGAUUUUUCCUUUUGUAGCUUUGAAUAGGGGAAGGUUUGGGUUUUUGAAUUGCAAAAGAAAUAAGGCUUAUAUUCAUUGCUAUCUACUCUUACGUUUUAAAAUUCUUUUAUAUUUAUGUGUGUGCACACGCUUAUGUGUGUGAAUGCGAAUGGUACAGCACAUUGUUUCCUUCUAUCAUGUGAGCCCUGAGGAUAGAACCCAGGUCACCAGGCUUGGUGACAACCAUAGUUAUCCACGGAGCCACCUCUUUGGCCCCUAUUAAAUAUACUAAGUAUACACGACUUUGUGUGGUAGACGUGGCAACUUCUCAUACUCUAAUAUUACCGUUAAAACCUGUCCCCCAGGCCAUUCCACAAUAUCUCUUGUGUUUCAGAAAACUCUCGUAGUUUUGACUAUGAGUCAUUAUGGUCUCAUGAUCAUCUAGGGUCAGUUCUGGGAGAGACCAUGGAGUUGUGUGAAGAAGGAUGCUGGGACUCCGAGGAUAAGUGGUUUUUAUCUCACAUCUUUUGGUGGAACUGCUGCCUCUGCUUAUCAAUAGACCAUUCCUGUGGCCUCUGCAGCCUCAGCAAGAGAUGCUCAGAGCUCCACAGCUGUCACACUGAGGGAGGCCGCAGUCUAUGCCAGGGGUUAAGGGGAAGUAUCUUGAAACUGUGUCUAUAUACACGUUUAGGUGUAUGUUGGUGUCUGGAUCUGUAGAGAGGAAAGGAAAGGGCAAGUGAGUCAGAUUGUAUGGAGAAGUAAGGGAGGAUUUGAACCUAAAUGUGCUCAGUAGAGCGUCUGUCAUUUAUUAGUAGCUUAUGGUGUUCUUGUCUCAUGUCCUCUUCAGAGCGAGCUAAGGGUGUGAAGCAUGCGGUGCUCCAUGUCAUGGGUGCAAACAUUCAGAGACCCAAGUGCCUUGUAUGGAGGUAAGAAAUUAAAGCCCACUUGAUCAUGAUGGAUGAUCGUUUUGAUGUGUUCUUGGAUUCGGUUUGCAAGAAUUUUAUUGAGUAUUUUUGUGUAAGGGAAAUCAGUCUGAAGUUUUCUUUCUUUGUUGUGUCUUUGUGUGGUUUAGGUAUAAGAGUAAUUGUGGCUUCAUAGAAGGAAUUCGGUAGUGAUCCAUCUGUUUCAAUUUUGUGGAAUAGUUUGGAUAAUAUUGGUAUGAGGUCUUCUAUGAAGGUCUGAAAGAAUUCUGCACUGAACCCAUCUGAUCCUGGUUUUUUUUCUUUUCUUUUUUUUUUUUUUUUUUUUUUUUUGGUUGGGAGACUUUUAAUGACUGCUUCUAUUUCUUUAGUAGUUAUGGGACUGUUUAGAUUGUUUAUCUGAUCCUGAUUUAACUUUGGUACCUGGUAUCUGUCUAGAAAAUUGUUCUUUUCCUCCAGAUUUUCCAGUUUUGUUGAGCACAGGCUUUUGAAGUAGGAUCUGGUGAUGUUUUGAAUUUCCUCAGUUUCUGUUGUUAUGUUUCCCCCAGAGCUCCCAGGGACUAAACCGCCAUCCCAAGAGAACACAGUGAUGGACUUAUGGCUCCAGCUGCAUAGGGAGCAGAGGACGGCCUUGUUGGGCAUCAAUAGGAGGAGAGGCCCUUGGUCCUGUCAAGGCUCAAUGCCCCAGUGUAGGGGAAUGUCAGGGUGGAGAGGUGGGAGGGAGUGGGUGAGUGGUGGAACAGGGGGAGGGGAAAUGGGAUAGUGGGUUUCUAGAGGGGAAAUCAGGAAAGGGGAUAACAUUUGAAAUGUAAAUAAAAAAUUCAAUAAAAGAAAUUAAAACUCAUGUCACUUGGGCUCAAAACUGUUGCUCUCCUUUGCUACCCCGUAGCUGUAGCACAGAUAGUGUGUUAGAGGAGCGAGCAGAACACGUAACGCCUGGAGAUCAGAGGGACAGGCCUUGUGCAGUAAUAGUAAGGCCAGUGUACUGGCAGGCAUUUGGAGGGACUGUCAUACACGAGUCAUGGUGCCAGAGUCUACUUAAUGUAAUACUGAAACGAUCCUAUGACUGGGGACCAUUUUUGCAGUGAGUUUGCUGGGGAGAACCUGAAGAUCUAAGCGAUCUGUGUAGCCCCCACAGACAAUGGGGACGCUGAAUUGGGAUGAGCUGAAAAUCAGAUUUUGUCUGUUUGACCACAGAGACUGCACUCAAGUCAGACUAGAACAUCAGAGUACAAAUAAGCCAAAAGGACUUUAUCUCCAAGAACUGCAGUCUGAAGAGGACAGAUACACAGACAAUAACUAAAAUGUGUUUGUAGCCAAGUCCAGGGAAGGUGGUACCAGGGAGAGUGAACGCCUAACUCAGACUGGGAACAGAAUGCCAGUGACAUCUGGAGACAGUGUCCCAAGGAAAAUAGUAUUUCAGUUAAAGGUUAAUCAACCUUUCUUUUUCCAGAACUGGGAAUGAAGCCGCCGAGUCUGAAUUUGCACAGGCCAGGCAAGUGCUUGGCGGCUCAGCUACCUCCCCAGACCCUGUGUUUUGUUUUUGUUGUGUUUGUUUGUUUGCAUUUGAGACAGGUUCUCACUGGCAGUCCAAUACCACCUUGGAUUUAACAUGUAUCCCUGGCUGGCUGGGAGUUCGAGAUCCAGAGCCCCAGCCCCCUGAGCACUGGAAUCGCAGAACAAAACGGGAAUGUACGUUCAGUAGAGCAAGCUGCUGGAGGCCAGAGAGCACCUUGGGGUGUGAGUGUUUGCCUACAUGUAUGUGCAUGUGCUAUGUGCAUGCAUGAUGUCUACAGAGGCCAGAAGAGGGCACUCAAUUUCCUGGAACUGGAGUUGUCGGUUGUGAGCUGCCAUGGGGUACUAAGAACUGAUCCCCCUCUGCAGGGCAGCAAGCACUUCUAGCCCCUGGGCCAUCUCUCCAGCCGCACCCUGCUACUGUCUAGUCACAGGAAUAUGCGGAAGUGCUCCGGGAACACCUUCUCCCCCUGCUGCUGCUGACUCCAGCACUGCUGCAGGACCCGGAUUCUUUCAGCGCGGCCUGGGGCUUUGCCAGUGGAGAAGCUUGUCAUCCGAUGGGGCUCCCUUCCCGACCCUGGUGCUCCAGCCUCCAGUUCUGGGAGGUGGCGGGGUGAUGGAGUCAAGAACGAGGGUGGAAGGCCAGGGAGAGAGCAGCUCUGCACAGACAAUUACAAUGGGCUCAAAACCCCAGAACAUUUACCUUUUCCAACCGAAUGACUCUAUAAAAUGGACACCUGCCAUGUUCCUAACAUGAAUCACUGUACUUAGAGGCACACACAAGUGCAGUGCAGUCACGCCUAGUUGCUCACUGAUGUCUCAGAUCCAAUGCUCAGGGUUCAGUGCCUGAGCCAAAUGUUAAAGUUAUUUGUUCUUGUCAAUAAACUAAACUUUACGGUGACCCUCUAUUUUUAUUAUGCCACAUGUAUUUUAAGAGAGGUGGCUCCUGCUCAAGCUGGCUCUAGUGAGGGGCUCUAGUGAGGCCUGCUGAAUGCCAAGGAAGCGCUUCCCCUGGGGAUGCCCCAUCAGCAUGCAAGGCUGGCUAGGUCUGUGUAGUUUUUCCUGGCUCUAGGAAAGCCACCCUCUCAAUGAUACUGCACCAUAUCAGGAAAGUCUUUUGGGGUCUGGGGCUUCAAGUGCAGUGUUGCCUGGUCCUCAGCCUGCUACAGAGAUGCUGUUUGGAAAUGAAAUAAAAUAUGAAAAAAAAAACCCCACAAAAUAACAAAUGAAGCAAAGCAAAGACUGACCCCUACACACACAGCUGUGAAAUACCAUGUGCCAAACAGCCAAAAUGCACAGGUGACUUCCCGUUCAUCUCUCUUAGGCCCAGAUGUAACCACACAUUCCUGUCUGCCGAGCUGCAAAGGGCCAGGGCCACACUUGUUGUGAGUGUGAGGAUGGGCCUGUCGUCUGGAUGUUUGGAGUAGUUUCCCUUAAAAAAUGCUGGGGACCUAGAUGUGUGAGAAUUUGGGUGGUCUUGAGAGACUCCCCCACGCAGACCCACAGCCACACUGUGGCAGCUGGAUGGAUGGAGCAGGUGCAUGGGAACAGAGCUUUCAUAUCCCCAGUCAGUGAAGCUGUGUGGUAAAUGGGGCUUUCUGCUCCAAAAAGAGAAGAAAAAAAAUCACAGCUGUAUUUCCUUUUACCCCCCAAAAGCUUUAACGCUUAAGUUUUGGAAUUCAAGCAAUACAAUAAAAAUAUAUAACUUUAUAAUUUCUGAUUGUUUGUUUUUGUUGUUGUUUUGAGACAACAAUUUCCCCUGUGUGAAAGAAUUGGCUGGCCUAAAACUCACUUUGUAGACUGGGCUAAUGUUUGGAUUUUUGUUUUUGUUUGAGACAGUGUUUCUCUGUGUAGCCCUGGCUGAACUGGAACUUGCGCUUUAGACCAGCCUGGCCUUGAACUCAGAGACCUGCCCGCCUCUGCAAGUGUGCACCAUUACUGCCUGGCUUAUGACCAUGUCUUAAAUGCACAUUUCUGCCACAAGCUAUGGAGACCUUAUGACAUGAACAGGUCCAGCUGCCUUUCAGCCUAGACACUUGCCUCAUCAUCUCCUGUCAUAAUCACAGGUUUCCCUGUUUCUAUCCCAGUCUCCCACAGUCUAAUGUCAAUUUGGCAGCUAAGUGGCCUUUUAAAAAUGAAAGUCAACACAUGGCCGUUCUUUCCUCAAAACCUGGCAACCGCUUCUCUUGAACACGUCUCUCUCUCCUCACUCACACUGUUUGCACAUGGUCUGUAGACCAGGCUGGCAUUGAACUCUGCCUGUCUCCAUGCCCCGAAUGCUGGGAUUGAAGAUGAACACCUCCAUGCCCAUCUGUACCUUUCUUCUUUGUAGCUCAGGCUAGCUUAGACCCUUGGUUAUCCAGCUUGAGUGCUAGCGCCAUGGGUAUGGGCAUGAGGCCCAGCUCAUAUCAGGGCCUUUACCACGGCCAAUAAGAUGGCCCGGGGGCUGGGGAUUUGGCUCAGUGGUAGAGCGCUUGCCUAGCAAGCACAAGGCCCUGGGUUCGGUCCCCAGCUCCGAAAAAAAGAAAAAAAAAAAAAAAAGAUGACCCAGGAUCCAUUGCAAACCUGUUACUCUCCCCCUUUGUCACUACCUUUAGCCAUGUAGUCCUUUUGACAUUCUGUUAGUGCUGGAGCCCGGUCCCAUCUCAGCAACUCCCUGUGCAGUCCUGCCUGCCCACUCUUAACCGCUCGGCUGGCUGUGCUUGGAAACACCCGCUGCCGUGAGGCGUUUCUGACUUUUCUUGUGUCAGCUGCACUACUGAUACUGUUAAUUUCCUCUAACCCACUUCAUUACUAGCUUUGUAUCGCCUGCUAGCACGUGUUUGCCAUCUCUCUCCCAUUUGAUUAUCAUCUACAGAGGCACACACGGUAUUUCAUCCACCUCUGCGUCCCCUGGAUCAGUGUUCAUGAGGUGUUGUGCUUUAAACACCACUCAGCCACCGUAGCUCGUGGAGGACAACAAAAGACGUUUCAUUUGCCUUUGUGCUAUUAAACAUCCUUGCCUGGUGAUUUUAUACCAUUAGUGGCGUUUAUGAAAUCUUAUAUUUAUAUUGUGUGUGCGCGUGCGCGUUAGGGAUCUGAAUGUAUUCUUACUCUGAAACAAGUAUCAGAGCGCCAGAACAAUCUUUGAAGUUCUGUCAGGAAAGAAAUGAGUUUGAAAGCCCAGAGAGGGGACAGAAUGAAGCAUGCCAGUUGUUGGUCAGCCAUGCUCCAGGACAGGCGAGAGGUUUUAAAUAUGUCAUGGGAGUGAGUCCGCAGGAGAUGGCUGCAGAAAAGGAAGGACCUUCCACCGCCAUACUCUCUGGUAGCCACUAGGUGGUGCUGUCAGAGUCGUGUGACUGCCCAGGGGGAAAUAAUGCGGAAACUUUAAAGUUGAACAACUUAGUUAUUUGAAACCACAAUAACAUCAUGUAGCUACUCGAGACCAUAAAUAAAUAAAAAAAAGUGAAGAAGAAACAUUCGACUGAGUAUUUUGAGAAAAACGACCACAACUAGCAUUAAUAAAAUUAAUAACAAGGACUUGAGCGUGAAGGGCUUAUAAUGUGUCAGACUGUGCCAGUGCAGGCUAUCAGCUUCCCGGCCUGAGUAGGAAAUAUGUAGCUGAGUCGGCACAUAGUAGGGUGGUCAAAAGUCAUGCGUUAAGUGAAUUUUGAGAAUUUAGUUAGGUAGUUCGUAAAAAGCAUCCACUCCAUACUGACAUUCCCUCUUACGGCGCAUGCUUGGUAACAGGAAUGGGUCUACAGAGCCACCGUACAUGUUCUCUGUUAAAGCUGCCCCAAACGUGCUUAAUUGGUUGAGCAACCCAGAAGGAAUAAGUCCAAAUUUAGCGUUUCGCUCGGCAAGUCUCCUUCAUUCUUCAGCUGGGGGUCUAACGGUUUGCUUUGGGCUCGGGGAACUGUGUCCCAGAUGACAGAGGCCAGCAUAGGCUUCAGAGGUCCCACUUUCUGCUUUCUAGGUUACACUUUUAAUGGGGCUUACUGAAACAGAGUUUGGUGUCAGCAGAUGUCCCCUACAGGACCCCUCAGAGUCACCAUACAGGGAAUGGAGCCCAGUGCCCUUUUGCAUAGAUACCCAUCUCUGACUCAACUGUGGAGGUUUCCAUGCCAACAAAAGCUUAUUUCAAUCAACUGUAUUGAAGUCUUCGAGAUGCUGGGCACAAAGUACUUGCUAGAUGUAUGGGGGGGUGGGGAACAGACAGAUGACGUCAUCUCUGCCUUCCAGAGGCUUCCAUGGUAGUUAGUAGAAUAUGAAAAGCAUGUACCUCCGAGAGGAUUUGUAACAUCCACUUCCAAGUCUCCUGACUUCCGCCCAGCCACAACAGAAUUUCUGAAGCAGUGAGAAGGAGCGUCUGUGUCAGGAGCCCAGCUCAGCUUGCAUCUCAGAAUUCCCUGAUGGGACUGGGGACUGGUAGUGGGGUCGUUGGAGGGCUUAUCUGAGGAAUCUGCGUUGCCAGUAAUCAUCACAAGCCCUGUGUGCACUGAGCUUUGAAAAGCGUUGCUAUGGUGUUCAGGAUGGACUGCAGACAACACUGUAGAUUGCAGAAAGGAAGAGAGUGCGCGUGCUUAACUCGCUUUCUGACAUGGCAGACACCUGCUAAUCAUCUGUGUCUUCAGACUCCUCUUCAGUCGACGGCACCACCAUCGUUAAUACCCAUUUUAGAGUAAGAAAAUCAAGGUACAGAGAGGCUCCAUGAUUUGCCCAUGGCACACAUAGCAAGGGGAGGUACAUGACUCAAAUACAAAGCCAAGGCUUCCAACCACUCUUCCAACUGCCUGCCACAGUGCCAGCUUUCAGAGUAGCCUCAAAGAGGUCUGAAGACGUGCAGAAUUGCCCAAGUAGAGGACACGGGCACAAUGAUUUAAUCUGAAAUAUAAUAUAUAUCAUAUCCAUCAAGAACUAUUGGGCCUCACUAACUAUAUCAUAUGGUAUUGGUUUUACUCUUCCAAAGACUGAAGAGUAGUUUUUCAGAGGAGCGAAACAGCCAUACAUUAAGGUCCUUUACUGUACGAAGUCCCUACAUGCACUCUUACCUAGUUCUUACGAUAGCUAACAUAGUGUCUGCCUCCAUUUAGAGAUGAGCACUCAGAGCGUAAGUGCUUUCCACGAAGUGAAUAGCCAUUAGAUGGUGGAUUUGGGCUUACCCACUCCCCUGAUAUCUGUUGCAUUAAUGAAGGUGCAUUUAGAUACAAGCAACAGAAACCUCUAUACGCCGUGACCCGGCCAAUACGGGAAGACGCUCGCAGAUGAUAGGGCUAUCAAUGCGUCCUGAGGGAGGAUUGGAUUCAGGCUGGUUAGUUCAGAGACUGAGCAAUGUGAUCAAGAUCCUAAGAUCAAUGUAUCUUUGCUAUCUGCUUAAAUUUGGGGAGCGUUGUGGGUUGGGUUGUGGUGUUGUUUGGGAAGGUUAUGGACCUCCAGGAGGUGGAAUUUGCUGUAUAAAUAUUUAAUUCUAAUUCCCAGUA